UGGUGUGUGACCGCAGUGUUUCCAUCAUCCGACACUCUUUGCUCUUCUUCCUGGACCUCAUACCCUGUACUAUUAUAGGAUACACACGCGCAGCUCCCGCACUGAACGCGCUGCUCUCCUCUAUUCGCUGGACACACGUGUUCGGCUGCGAAGCCCAGCGUGGCGUCGCGAGCCCGCAGGGAGGAGGAGGGUUGGGGGGGGGGGGGGGCGUGCUCCGGGCGCGAGGCUUCUCUCCGCAAUAUUUUUGUCACAUUUCCAUUUUCAUGCACGAAGCUGCUUUAUUUAUCAGGUGAACCCUUUUCCGGACUGCGCUGAGCACGGCAAAAACCUCAACUCUGCACCGGACACCAGCGUCCACCUUCCACCUGCAUACAGCCCCAGGCGGGGAGAAAACGGAGGGGGGACGAGCGCGGCGGGGGGUUUCUUUCCCUGGUGACAUUGUGAUUGUGGAAAGCGCCGCUCGUCACCGCGGACCUACGUGCCGCCCACCCCGCUCGCCAACUUCAACCUCAACACGCUCUUUUACCACUGCCGCGACUUGAGAAUGGCUGCUGCGAACUGGAAGUGCCAACUGCAGUAAACAGGGAACGAUCGAGAGGAAAGUUCUCCUGCAGGAUUUGCCGGGUUCCGCUCAGUGGCCAUGCGAGCCGGUGGAGUGCGGGCGCUCGCGGCGGUGCUUCUCGGAGCCGCGGUCGCCGUCGGGAGCGCGCACGGAACAUGUCUUUUUCAGGGAUCCCUGUUUGCGGUACGUCGUCUGCAGAUUUAUUAUGUUAUAAUGAUCAUCUUGCAGAUUCUCAGUGUCUGGUGGCUCUUUUGAAGAUGAAUCUGAGGCCGUGUGUCAUAAUUAAUGGGGAGUCAUGGUGCACUUUGGAAUGAUGAUUUCAAUACACUGUCAGAAGUACUAGACAUAGCCAUCGCUUAAUAUUUAUGGCAGUGGAUGUGGAUUGUAAAUACAGGCAGUCCCCGGAUUACGAACGAGUUCCGUUCCUAAGUCUGUAUUUAAGUUGAAUUUGUACGUAAGUCGGAACAGUUAGGUACGUUCAUAUCUAACGUCAGCAUAAAAGACAUUGAAUGAACACUUUCAUAUACACUAAAACAUCUUUAAAAUAAUAAUACAGUAAUAGUAAUAAUAAACAUGACUACAGUAUUUAUAAUAGAGACA
rnacentral:lncRNA from 1 species